AUGGAGGUUCCGAAAGAUCAUAGAGUUCCUUUGGUCACGUACAAGCUGAAAGGAGGAGCCAGUGCAUGGCGGUAUCACGUUCAAGACGAACGCAGGCUGAGAGGAGAACCUCGUGUGAGAACUUGGCGGCAAAUGAAAAGUCUUUUGAAAGGGAGAUUUUUACCCGCUGAUUAUGACCAGAUCCUAUUUAUCCAAUUCCAAAAUUGUGCUCAAGGAAAUAGGACUGUUUCAGAUUACACGGAGGAGUUUCUAAGGCUACACGUGAGGUGCAACCUUGCUGAAACUAAAGAUCAACAAGUUGCAAGGUACAUCAAUGGUCUCAAUGAUGCUAUUCAAGAUCGAUUGAUGAUGCAACAAAUCUGGUCCAUUGAUCAAGCACAAGCUCUAGUCUUGAAGGCCAAGAGGUUUGUGAGGAUGAGAAAGACAACUAAGGCUCCAUAUCCUCCAUAUCCCCAUACCGAAGGCUCGUCCAGGAGCCAGAAUAAUAGAGUGGAAGAAAAGACCGCUACACCGAAGGCAAAACGACCCAUCCUGAAGCAAACUAGAGGCAAGGGUAAGGCAAAUGAAGGCCCAAAGUGCUAUAAAUGUUGUAAAGAGGGACACAUAUCCGGUGGUUGCCCACUAAAAAAAAUUGUUAACACAACUAUCCAUGAUGGUGAAGACGAUGAGGAAGAAUACAAAUCUGAAGAUGUAGAGGGACAAGAGGUUUGUCAAGAAGAAGGUCAAGAGAUGGUAUGUGUGAUUCAGCAUCUCCUAUUUUCCACACCACAACCUGACGACACAAAGGAAGAAAAUAUUUGA
rnacentral:rRNA from 1 species